rnacentral:rRNA from 1 species
CUACGGGUGGCUGCAGUGGGGAAUUUUGGACAAUGGGCGCAAGCCUGAUCCAGCCAUUCCGCGUGAGUGAAGAAGGCCUUCGGGUUGUAAAGCUCUUUCGCAAGGGAAGAAAACUUAUCCUCUAACAUAGGGUGAGGUUGACGGUACCUUGAUAAGAAGCACCGGCUAACUACGUGCCAGCAGCCGCGGUAAUACGUAGGGUGCGAGCGUUAAUCGGAAUUACUGGGCGUAAAGCGUGCGCAGGCUGUUUUGUAAGUCAGAUGUGAAAUCCCCGAGCUCAACUUGGGAACUGCGUUUGAAACUACAAGACUAGAAUAUGUCAGAGGGGGGUAGAAUUCCAUGUGUAGCAGUGAAAUGCGUAGAGAUGUGGAGGAAUACCAAUGGCGAAGGCAGCCCCCUGGGAUAAUAUUGACGCUCAUGCACGAAAGCGUGGGGAGCAAACAGGAUUAGAUACCCCCGUAGUC